AGAGCGAACGCUGGCGGCAGGCCUAACACAUGCAAGUCGAGCGCUCCGCAAGGGGAGCGGCAGACGGGAGAGUAACACGUGGGAACGUACCCUUCAGUUCGGAACAACCCAGGGAAACUUGGGCUAAUACCGAAUACGUCCGUAAGGAGAAAGAUUUAUCGCUGAAGGAUCGGCCCGCGUCUGAUUAGCUUGUUGGUGAGGUAACGGCUCACCAAGGCGACGAUCAGUAGCUGGUCUGAGAGGAUGAUCAGCCUCACUGGGACUGAGACACGGCCCAGACUCCUACGGGAGGCAGCAGUGGGGAAUAUUGGACAAUGGGCGCAAGCCUGAUCCAGCCAUGCCGCGUGGGUGAUGAAGGCCCUAGGGUUGUAAAGCCCUUUCGGCGGGGAAGAUAAUGACGGUACCCGCAGAAGAAGCCCCGGCUAACUUCGCGCCAGCAGCCGC
rnacentral:rRNA from 1 species